GAUGUGCCACAGGGAGCAUGUGUGCUACUGAAUAAAGGAUAAAAAUUUCAGUAUUUCUUAGAAAGAGAGUUGGAAAAGGAGCCUUAUUUGAACAAAUAGUCUAAGAGGUUAUUAGGGGCUUUGAAUGGUCAAGAAAAACAAUUAGUCACACAAGAAUCCGAAUACCAAUCUCUGUUUCAUGUGGUGGAUUUUUCCCCCCAUUUUUUUAAAGUACCUGUUUUCAUGUUGAUGACAGUUUCCCACAGGUGUUUCUUAUUUGUGACUUAAGUAAAUUAUUUUAUAUCUGCUGCCCCACAUAGAAAUAGGCUUCACAGGAGGAAAAGGUUUAUAGAUGCAAGGGAGUAAAAGUAGAGCUGCGUUUAUAUGCAUCAUGACAUCCCAUUUUUCUUGGAUAAGCCAAACUAUAGAAAGUGAGCUUGUGACAAUUUUUUUUUUUCCCCUAGAGACUGGGAAUAUUUUGAUGGCAUAUCACAGUAUCCGUCAUCUUGAUGGUUUACAGGAUUAGUGAGACUGCAUUCCAUUUGUAAUACUGCUUUGUGACUUUGUUGCUAUUGGCAUCAAUGGGCUCUGGUUUCUUUUCUUCUCAGAACAGAAUCCUCCUUAUAUCUAAGGAUGGAGCUAUAUUAGUAUGAAUAAUAAAGAAUGAUACUUGAGAUGAAAUGAUGUUUAUUGAAAACUGAAGAGGAGCAGAUGAAAAAAAGCAUAAAAAAGCAGAAGAUAAUUGCAACAACUGAUAAUACCUAAUUUACCACAGAUUAAAUUGCUACUCUGCCAUGUACUUUUCUCUAGAAAUGUGAACACAAUUUUUAGGUAUGUUACUUUGCUCUAUGUUUCUGUAUACAUAAAUGGUAAGGAAUUAAUAGAGCCUAGACUUCCCCAAACAAGGUGACUAGACAGUGUGGUCCUGGUGAGUGAACAGCUGUUGUUCUUCUAGCUGCUUGUUAUGCAAGGAGUUAGUUUGAUGUCCAAGGAGCAUACCUAAAUACUAUUUGUGUUUGUUUUGUGUCUGGCCCCACUGGGACCAGCUGUAGAAUGAACAAAAUGUUGUCCUAGCACAGUCAUAAUUUUCAAUCAUUUUGACAGUCUUCCUCUAUGUUACCCUUGUAGCCUGUAAUGCUGGAAAAAGUAUGCUUAUAACAGGAACAGAUGACCAAACUGAACUGAGCUCCUCUGUCUGUUAAAUAUUUCAGGCCUGAAAUGUGUUUUCCUGGACAUGAAACCUGCAGAGCAGAACAGGAGUAAGCCUUCCUGAACCUUGUCAGAGCAGGGCCACCAGCACCCACUUGUCUCCAGAGCAGCAGAUAAUCCAGUAGUGCUACUGAUUAGUGAUGAUGAAGACGAACAAGGAGAUAUUGAUGGUUCUGUUCUCUGUAAUACAAGGCUCUCUGGUACUGUCUUCCAUGGGAUUUGCAUGGAUUGCUACUCAUGGACUGCGCAAAGUGAACAACUGAUUGCAUCGACCCCCUGUGGUCGUGUCUACUGCAGUUGAUGCCUCCCUGUUGCUCUUCAGACUGCCAGCACUUGCCCAGCCUGCAGGACAGAACUCAGUCAUGAAAAAUAUCAUCCCAUUUAUAUAUGAGAACUAUUUCUCCAGACAGACUCAGAUGGAUCUUGGGGGAUAGGCUGUGUAAAGACUUGUUUCUUUGU